rnacentral:lncRNA from 1 species
UGAUGCUGUCCUCCUCCCUGCAUCUGCCUCCCUAAGUGAGGUGAUUGUUGGAGUACUGGACACCGGUGUCUGGCCAGAGAUAAAAAGCUUUGGUGACACAGGGCUUGGCCCAAUACCAAGUACCUGGAAAGGUUCUUGUCAGGUGGGUAAGAACUUCAAUUCAUCAAGCUGUAACCGGAAACUGAUAGGUGCACAAUAUUUCUCAAAAGGGUAUGAAGCAGCAUUCGGACCUAUUGACGAAACAAUGGAGUCAAAAUCACCAAGAGACGAUGAUGGCCAUGGAACCCACACUGCAACUACAGCAGCUGGAUCAGCUGUCUCAGGAGCUAGCC